GAGCGUGACCAAGACAAGAAGUCACUUAGAUGUCUAUCCACUCGUCAGUGACUUGCUUGAUGUUGCAGUAGUGUGACUGGUCCUUUGACCUGCGGUGCUUCGGCUACUCACAGUAAGGUUAUUGUAGUUUGACUGCACACAUACAUGGUCUCUAGCCAUAUGGGUCCAUGCAGUAUAGAUUGGCUGCAGUAAGUUUACUGUAGGAGUAGGGUAUGCACCUAUAA
rnacentral:lncRNA from 1 species